rnacentral:rRNA from 1 species
UACGGAGGGUGCAAGCGUUGUUCGGAAUUAUUGGGCGUAAAGCGCGUGUAGGCGGUUGCCUAAGUCUGGUGUGAAAUCCCGGGGCUUAACUCCGGAAGUGCACUGGAUACUGGGUAACUAGAGGACGAGAGAGGAUGGUGGAAUUCCUGGUGUAGGGGUGAAAUCCGUAGAUAUCAGGAGGAACAUCGGUGGCGAAGGCGGCCAUCUGGCUCGUUUCUGACGCUGAGACGCGAAAGCGUGGGGAGCAAACAGG